rnacentral:rRNA from 1 species
CCUACGGGUGGCAGCAGUAGGGAAUCUUCCACAAUGGGCGCAAGCCUGAUGGAGCAACACCGCGUGAGUGAAGAAGGGUUUCGGCUCGUAAAGCUCUGUUGUUGGAGAAGAACGUGCGUGAGAGUAACUGUUCACGCAGUGACGGUAUCCAACCAGAAAGUCACGGCUAACUACGUGCCAGCAGCCGCGGUAAUACGUAGGUGGCAAGCGUUAUCCGGAUUUAUUGGGCGUAAAGCGAGCGCAGGCGGUCGCUUAGGUCUGAUGUGAAAGCCUUCGGCUUAACCGGAGAAUUGCAUCAGAAACUGUUGAACUUGAGUGCAGAAGAGGAGAGUGGAACUCCAUGUGUAGCGGUGGAAUGCGUAGAUAUAUGGAAGAACACCAGUGGCGAAGGCGGCUCUCUGGUCUGCAACUGACGUUGAGGCUCGAAAGCGUGGGGAGCAAACAGGAUUAGAUACCCUUGUAGUC